UACGUAGGGUGCGAGCGUUAAUCGGAAUUACUGGGCGUAAGCGUGCGCAGGCGGUUCGUUGUGUCUGCUGUGAAAUCCCCGGGCUCAACCUGGGAAUGGCCAUGGAAACUGGCGAGCUGGAGUCUGGCAGAGGGGGGGUGGAAUUCCGGCGUGUAGCAGUGAAAUGCGUAGAGAUGCGAAGGAACACCGAUGGCGAAGGCAGCCCCCUGGGCUAAGACUGACGCUGAGGCACGAAAGCGUGGGGAGCAAACAGG
rnacentral:rRNA from 1 species